rnacentral:piRNA from 1 species
UGGCUUGGACUUUCUCACCCUGGGGCAGGC